rnacentral:rRNA from 1 species
AACGAACGCUGGCGGCAUGCCUAACACAUGCAAGUCGAACGAGACCUUCGGGUCUAGUGGCGCACGGGUGCGUAACGCGUGGGAACCUGCCCUUAGGUUCGGAAUAACUCCCCGAAAGGGGUGCUAAUACCGGAUAAUGUCUUCGGACCAAAGAUUUAUCGCCUUUGGUUGGGCCCGCGUUGGAUUAGCUAGUUGUUAGGGUAAAAGCCUACCAAGGCGACGAUCCAUAGCUGGUCUGAGAGGAUGAUCAGCCACACUGGGACUGAGACACGGCCCAGAAUCCUACGGGAGGCAGCAGUGGGGAAUAUUGGACAAUGGGCGAAAGCCUGAUCCAGCAAUGCCGCGUGAGUGAUGAAGGCCUUAGGGUUGUAAAGCUCUUUUACCCGGGAUGAUAAUGACAGUACCGGGAGAAUAAGCUCCGGCUAACUCCGUG